rnacentral:misc_RNA from 1 species
GUUGGAGAUAUGGAUGGAAGCCAUGUUGUGAUGUUGUUCUCUAGAGUGCCAAAAGUUUUUAAAGGCACUCCAGAAAAACAACUCGUUGGAUUUGACCGCGUACAUAGUAUUUCUUCCAUGUCUACUGAAACACGCAUCUUGAUAGAUCCUUGCAUACAUCUAAGCAUUGCAAAUGAGCAAGGGAAAAGGGUAAUGCCAUUAGGCAAUCAUGUCCUAAUGUUAGGAGAUUUAGAGCAUUUUGUUACCAUUGAAGCUUAUUGAUGCC